rnacentral:rRNA from 1 species
AUGUCUGGGAAUGUGUCGGACAGCUCAGGUAUAGGUGAAUCAGCUGAUGAGUUGUUGCAAACACCACAUAGUAGGCGGGCUAAAGUCUGGGAAUACUAUGAGCCAGAUUUGGUAGAGGUGGACAAUGUCCCAAAGGCUGUGUGUAAGUAUUGUUCCAUGAAAUUAGCAUGCAAGUCUGGGACGAGCAGCCUUAGAAACCACAUUGGUGAGUCAUGCCCCAAAAUCGAUUAUGAGUCAAGAAAUAGGUUUCUUGCAACAAUUAAGAAAAAACCAUCAUAUGUGGGGUUUGUUUUCGAUCCUCGGAGAAGCCGUCAGCUCAUGAUCAAAUAUUGCAUCCACGUCGAGGUUGCAUUCAGGAAGUUUGACGAUCCUUACUUUGAAGAGUGGAUGGAAUCGAUGCAGCCCACCUUUAAAGUCAUUCGGCGCCAGACUGUUCGCAACGACAGUGUGGACGCAUAUGAGCAAAUGAAGGAUCGUCUGCGCAUUGAGUUUGAGUCUCUUGAUUCCCGUGUUUGUUUGACCUCGGACAUGUGGACCUCUAUACAAGAACUAGGCUAUAUGUGUGUUACCGCUCACUACAUCGAUGGCAAUUUCAAGCUGAAGAAGAAGGUCAUAUCCUUCAAAAAAGUCAAGUAUCCGCACACAAGUGCGGCCAUUGAAGAGACUUUGUGCAAGUGUUUGAAUGAAUGGGGAAUAAAAAGGAAAUUGUUUACUUUGACCUUGGACAAUGCAACAAACAACAAACCGGCUAUUGACUCAUUUGUGCAACAUCAAGACCAUGGCAUGUUGUUUGGUGGUGUGGAUUUUCAUGUAAGGUGUUCGGCACACAUCCUUAAUAUCUUAGUUCAAGAUGGAACAAGGUAUGUGCACAAGACCAUAGAAAAAAUCCGUGAACUUUUAAGGCAUAUCGCUUCUUCUCCAUCAAGAAUUCAAUCCUUCAAUGCGAUUGCCACAAAUUUGGAUCUUCCUGAAAAGGCUGGUGGCAUAAAUCUUGAUAUUCCAAACCGUUGGAACUCUACAUAUCUAAUGAUUGGAGAAGCUCUGGAAUACAAGGGAGCCCUCAAUAAUUAUGCAAGUGGAAAUGGUGAAAUAGCACCGGACGAUGUGGAGUGGACUAAUGCUGAAGUAAUGUGCGCAUUCCUAAAAGCUUUUGAAGAAGCGACAAAGUUAGUAUCAGCCGAUAGAACACCAACAGCCCAUCAUUUUUUGCACAUGGUGUUGUGCAUCCGCCACACGCUAAGGGACCCUCAGUGGAGAACUAGUGGCACUAUGUCAAACCUUGUCUAUGCUAUGGGCCAAAAGUUUGAUAAAUACUGGAAAGAGUCAAAACUAAAUGUUGCAGUUGUCAUCGCAACGGUGUUAGAUCCAACCAAGAAAUCUGACUUCUUGGAAUUCUUCUUUGAAAAGUAUUGUGAAAAUGUGGAUGCUAUUGAGAAGUGUCUAGAAGGUGUAAAAGACAUGAUGAGGUCGUACUAUGAGAAAUACGAGGAAGCCAGAAGAACCAUCGAGCACUCGGUAUCUCGGCAAGUCAACACCAAUAUAGGAUCACCAGUUCUUGGCAAAAGGAGGCUGGAAGAAGAGUUUGCUCAAUACAAAUCAAGAAGGAGGUCCUACAUGCAACCAAAGUCUGAGCUGGACAUGUAUUUGGAGGAAAAUUUCGACAGCUUCGAGGGAAGUUUUGAUAUUUUGAUAUGGUGGAAGACACAUGCUGAAAAAUAUCCCAUGCUCUCAACCAUGCCUCGUGAUUUCCUUGCAAUACCUCUUAGCACUAUGUCAUCUGAAUCAGCAUUUAGUUGCAGUGGAAGGACUUUAGGAGAUUCCCGAUGCUCGAGAUGCCCGAAACACUUGAGGCUUUAG